rnacentral:misc_RNA from 1 species
AGUGUAUGUAAAUAAAACAGUAAUUUCAAUGACAAUUUCCUGAAAAUGUAAAUUAUGCCCAAAUGUGUAAAUCAAGUAAAAUGUGAAUUAUGCCCAAAUGAUAAUUUCCUGAAAACGGAUGAUCUAGGCCUAUCUAGUUAAAAACUGAUUUAACUUACAAAUGUGUAAAUCAAUCGUCAUGGCAUGUAACAAUGUUGAUAGUAUUAGAAAAUAAAGCUUGGAAAAACAGCUUAUGGUAGAAUCUUGCUCUCUUUAGUCCAGAUUUG